rnacentral:misc_RNA from 1 species
UCCGGUUUAUCACCGGCGGUCUCCCUAGAGUGCCCAACUAAAUGAUGGCAACUAGGGACAAGGGUUGCGCUCGUUGCGGGACUUAACCCAACAUCUCACGACACGAGCUGACGACAGCCAUGCAGCACCUGUCACUCGGUUCCCGAAGGCACCAAUUCAUCUCUGAAAAGUUCCGAGGAUGUCAAGACCAGGUAAGGUUCUUCGCGUUGCAUCGAAUUAAACCACAUGCUCCACCGCUUGUGCGGGUCCCCGUCAAUUCCUUUGAGUUUUACCGUUGCCGGCGUACUCCCCAGGCGGAGAACUUAAUGCGUUAGCUGCGACACCGAAAGGCAAAUCCUCCCGACAUCUAGUUCUCAUCGUUUACGGCGUGGACUAC